UACGUAGGGUGCGAGCGUUGUCCGGAAUUAUUGGGCGUAAAGAGCUCGUAGGCGGUCUGUCGCGUCGGCUGUGAAAACCCGUGGCUCAACCCCGGGCCUGCAGUCGAUACGGGCAGACUAGAGUGCGGUAGGGGAGACUGGAAUUCCUGGUGUAGCGGUGAAAUGCGCAGAUAUCAGGAGGAACACCGGUGGCGAAGGCGGGUCUCUGGGCCGUAACUGACGCUGAGGAGCGAAAGCGUGGGGAGCGAACAGG
rnacentral:rRNA from 1 species